UACAGAGGUCUCAAGCGUUGUUCGGAUUCAUUGGGCGUAAAGGGUGCGAUAGGUGGCGCUGUAAGUCGGGUGUGAAUUCGGAGCUUAACUCCGAAACUGCAUUCGAUACUGCGGUGCUUGAGGACUGGAGAGGAGACGUGGAAUUCGAUGGUGUAGCAGUGAAAUGCGUAGAGAUCAUGAGGAAGACCAGUGGCGAAGGC
rnacentral:rRNA from 1 species